rnacentral:rRNA from 1 species
UACGGAGGGUGCAAGCGUUAUCCGGAUUCACUGGGUUUAAAGGGUGCGUAGGUGGGCAGGUAAGUCCGUGGUGAAAUCUCUGAGCUUAACUCAGAAACUGCCGUGGAUACUAUUUGUCUUGAAUGUUGUGGAGGUGAGCGGAAUAUGUCAUGUAGCGGUGAAAUGCUUAGAUAUGACAUAGAACACCGAUUGCGAAGGCAGCUCGCUACGCUAUUAUUGACACUGAGGCACGAAAGCGUGGGGAUCAAACAGG